rnacentral:rRNA from 1 species
CAGCAGCCGCGGUAAGACGGAGGGUGCUAGCGUUGUUCGGAAUCACUGGGCGUAAAGGGCGCGUAGGCGGCCCGUUAAGUCGGAUGUGAAAGCCCGGGGCUCAACCCCGGAACUGCAUCCGAGACUGGCAGGCUUGAGACCGGGAGAGGAGGGUGGAAUAUCCAGUGUAGAGGUGAAAUUCGUAGAUAUUGAAUAGAACACCGGUGGCGAAAGCGGCUCUCUGGCCCGGAUCUGACGCUGAGGCGCGAAAGCGUGGGGAGCAAACAGGAUUAGAUACCCCAGUAGUCCCUGUCUCUUAUAC